GCCUCCGCGCCGCUGUAAAUAAGCGCUGGUGCCGCCGGGCUCGGCCUAUUAGCACAAGGACGCGCCCCUCCCGGGUUGUGUCAUCUCAUCUCAGCGCUCUGCGUUGAUACCACUGAUU